UGCAAUGAGAGUUGUGCUAAGGUAGCGCGAUAAUUUGUCUCUUAAUUGGAGAAUGGUAUGAAUGGUUUAACGCAGAUCAACUGUCUUAGGGGAGUAAAGAAGAAGUUUCCAUCUAAGUGAAAAGGCUUAGAUUUUUGUAAAAGACGAGAAGACCCUGGCGAACUUAAUUAGGGUUAGUUACGUAGGCAGCUACUUAGUGAAUUUUUAUUGGGGCAAUAUAAACUUACAUAACAGUUUGAAUUUAGGUGUGGAUCCUUUUUGAAAGAAAAUAGCAAAAGUUACCGCAGGGAUAACAGCGUAAUCCUUUUUGGGAGAUCGAAUUGAGGAAAGGGUUUGCGACCUCGAUGUUGGAUUAUA
rnacentral:rRNA from 1 species